rnacentral:rRNA from 1 species
UCGUCAGCUCAUUUUGUAUAUGUAUGANGUUAUGAUGCGAGUUACUCUNUGUAGUAUUGCUUGCACGUACUUAUGCAUUUAUUUGCAAGGUGUUGUCGGCGUGCACUUCUCCCCUAGUAGGACGUCGCGACCCGUUGGGUGUNGGUCUACGACCCGAGUGGGAGACUUUAAUGUUUUNAU